rnacentral:lncRNA from 1 species
CAUAAACAUAUUUGUGUUGGAAACAAAAUUAUCUAUAUAUUAACUACAACAAUCUAUAUUUUAGUCGGUCUAAUUUUAUUUAUCAAAAUAAUGUUUAAUCAAUAUAAUUAUUUUAUGAAUGAUCAACUCGACGAGUGAUAAAAGCAAAAACUCAAAUAAUUAAGGGGUAUCCACUUUCCGCCAUUAUGAAAUCAAGUAUUGAGAAAUUUCAUCCCACUAAAGAGGAAAAUCUAAGCUUAUUUUUAAAUAAAAAUAAUUUUUAUUUUAACUUUAGUAAUUUUUUUAAAUUAAAUUAAAUUUUUAUAUUUUUAAUAUUUUUAAAUUCUUCUCUUCAAUAGAACCCGAAUAAAUAUGAAACGAUAAAAAAUUCACAAAACCACACACAAAAAUAAAUUAAAAUCAACACAACUAAAUUGUUAGCCCAAGGUGGGACUUAGUAUUUUGGGUAAUGGUGGUUAGAUUAGCCAUAUAUAUCAUGGGCCCGGCCCAGUCUUGGGUACCCAGUACCCACCCAACACUCAACCCACUGACGGAAACAAGUCAUAAUCUGUAAUUAAUAUUAAUGUAAUGUAUUAACCAACAUGAGAGCAACAUUUAACCAAAUGCCACUUUUACUCAUAUAUUUUUACUACUUAAAAAGAUAUUAAAAUAUUUACCCUAAUAAAGAUGAAACAAAUUGAGUAUAAUUAAAAAAAAUGGAGUGCGAAAAUCAAAAUAGAUAAAUUUCAAAAUCCUGAUAAUUUCAUCAUAUGGACGAACAUAUUCGGCAUAUUUGCUAUGUUUUGGUCAAAGAUUUGAUGGAAAAAAAUAAAAUAGAAAUGAAAAAAUAGGAGAAUCCAAUCGUUGACGUUGAAUCCAUUAAUUUUUUCAUUUCGUUUUCUUUAUCCUCACUAAAUUCUUGUUCCAAACACAACCUAAUUAUUUAUUGAUUUUCAUAACACUAGAAAUGAUCUUAUCUUUUUUUUUUUGCCUCAAUAUUUUCGAAUUAUUAAAUACAAUUAACUUGCAUUUUAUAGUUUUUUCACACGUUUCUUUCUUCAAACUAAAAAAAGAAAAAAUUCCAAAUCCGAAAUUAUCAACCAUGUAAGCAACUAUCAUGGUAUGUAUUGGAUUAUAAAUGUACAAAUAUUGAACAUGGUGAAACAAAAUCAAAAGUAUUAAAAGAAAGAAUUUUGUUAGGGAAGUGCCUACUCAAUGAGAUGAGAUUCGUCAUUUUGUAGAAUUCACCAUAUGUGAGUAUGCGCUGUCAAUGCAAUGCAUAAAACAUCUCUAACUUUUCUGCAAACUAAAACUUCUCGAUAAUCAAUUUAUUUUUUCCAACUUAGAAGUUAUUUUUUUCCAUGAAAGCGAAAGAAAAAACUUCAACAACCACACUGGCACAAGUUAUCUAAAAAAAAGAAUAAAAUUAAAAGCUGUUUUACCAUAAUCUAAUCUGAGCUUUGUUAUAAUCAGCUGUCUAAUAACAAAUGUUGGCAUGUUCUAUUUGCGACUUCUCAGCCCAACUUUUAAUUUUCUUUUCUUUUUGUGUAAAAAAUUAUUCUAUGUUGUUAUAUAUAUAUAUAUAUAUAUAGUUUUUUGUUUCCAUUGAUGAAGUGAAACAACUUAAAAGAGCUGAAAAAGCUAAUUCUUAAAAAUUUUAUUUGAUGAUUUUGACUUUCGAUUUAGAAUAGGAAGUUCCUAAUGCCAUGACUAUAGUUGUUCCUGUUACGACUUUAUUGUUUUAUUUAUGUUUUAUGAUAUAUUUACCUCUGUUUAACUUUUCUCCAUCUAAACCACUUUGCCCCAUAUGUAUUGUGCGUAUUCCUUCAUCACUCUCCCUUUGGACUCAGAUGCAUUUCUUCUUCUAUUACACUUUCAAAACUCUUGCAUUCUUGAUAAACCCAUAUUAAACCAGCAGAAUUUUGAAAAUUAGAUGAACGAGAGACAUCUCAAGAAUUUGCUGAUUAUGAACAUUGGUUGGGGAUGUCAAGAGAAAAUGGAAGAUUACUCCCAAUGCCCCCCACCCACCACUAAGAAUAUGUGGAAGGAG